AACGUAGGAGGCAAGCGUUAUCCGGAAUUACUGGGCGUAAAGGGCGUCUAGGCGGCGGUACAAGCGCGAUGUGAAAGCUCCUGGCUCAACUGGGAGAGUGCGUAGCGAACUGUGCAGCUAGAGGCCAGGCGAUGGGGGUGGAAUUCCCGGUGGAGUGGUGAAAUGCGUAGAGAUCGGGAGGAACACCAGUGGCGCAAGCGGCCCCCAAGCCUGAACCUGACGCUGAG
rnacentral:rRNA from 1 species